AUGAGAGCGACCUACCUGUGACAUCUAUCACCCAUUGAUCACCAGGAUUGAUUGAUCUGGCUGGCUAGGUGGGUGUUCUCUUUCUUCCUUACCAUUCCAUAUGCAUCUCUCCCAAAGCUGCAUGUUUUGUGGAAGAGGAUGACCAACCUCAACAGAGGAUGACCAUUCUUUGGUCUUGGGAAUAGAAGUAGCUGCACUCCCCUGCUAGAACUUCCAAACAAGCUCUCAAUAUCAAUUCUUGAUUAAAAACUCACAACAAAAAUAGAUAUAGAGAGAAAUUUCCUCAAAUUGGUAAAAUGUCAUAU
rnacentral:snRNA from 1 species